UACGGGGGGGGCAAGCGUUGUUCGGAAUUACUGGGCGUAAAGGGCUCGUAGGCGGCCAACUAAGUCAGACGUGAAAUCCCCAGGCUCAACCUGGGAACUGCGUCUGAUACUGGUUGGCUUGAAUUCGGGAGAGGGAUGCAGAACUCCAGGUGUAGCGGUGAAAUGCGUAGAUAUCUGGAGGAAUACCGGUGGCGAAGGCGGCAUCCUGGACCGACAUUGACGCUGAGGAGCGAAAGCUAGGGGAGCAAACGGG
rnacentral:rRNA from 1 species